GCCCAUAUAUCCCGCUUGGUAGACAUACUUCUUUAUAUGCCCAUAUGAACAAGAGCAGCUAUGGAAUGUAAAGAAGUAUGUAUCCCAGGUGAGAGAAAAACGGGGC
rnacentral:pre_miRNA from 1 species